GACGAACGCUGGCGGCGUGCCUAAUACAUGCAAGUUGAGCGCUGAAGGUUGGUACUUGUACCAACUGGAUGAGCAGCGAACGGGUGAGUAACGCGUGGGGAAUCUGCCUUUGAGCGGGGGACAACAUUUGGAAACGAAUGCUAAUACCGCAUAAAAACUUUAAACACAAGUUUUAAGUUUGAAAGAUGCAAUUGCAUCACUCAAAGAUGAUCCCGCGUUGUAUUAGCUAGUUGGUGAGGUAAAGGCUCACCAAGGCGAUGAUACAUAGCCGACCUGAGAGGGUGAUCGGCCACAUUGGGACUGAGACACGGCCCAAACUCCUACGGGAGGCAGCAGUAGGGAAUCUUCGGCAAUGGACGAAAGUCUGACCGAGCAACGCCGCGUGAGUGAAGAAGGUUUUCGGAUCGUAAAACUCUGUUGGUAGAGAAGAACGUUGGUGAGAGUGGAAAACUCAUCAAGUGACGGGAACUACCCAGAAAGGGACGGCUAACUACGU
rnacentral:rRNA from 1 species